rnacentral:autocatalytically_spliced_intron from 1 species
GUGCUUCAAAAAGAACAUUCAGUGCAUUAGACCAAUGGAUGUGGAUCCGCCAACGUAGAUAUUUGUAUCGACGUCAUCCCAAUAAACACUGGUGGUGGCGAAGAAAACACUACUUAGGCAAGAUACCAGGUAGAGAAGACUAUUCAGUAUUUAUGGAUAAAUCAACCGGUGGAUUUCUUUGGAAGCAUGCAUGGACAAAAAUACAGCGUCAUUGGCUAGUUCCAAAAAAUGCUUCCCCCGACAAUCCGGAAUUGCGUGACUAUUGGCGUAAUAGGCAGGCACGUAAACAGCCUUUUAUUUACGGUGUCAAAGUUAACCUCUAUAAGCGACAGAAAGGUUAUUGUCCUCUCUGUGAUCAAGAGUUGGACAAUGGUGAACAAUUGCAUGUUCAUCAUAUUCAGCCUAAAGCUGAAGGGGGUGACAACAAGCUGGCUAAUCUAAGAUUGUUACAUGCUAAUUGCCACAGACAAUUACAUAGCAAAAAAGGAAAAAUGUUGAAGUGAGUAAGUUGCGUGAGCCGUAUGCGGGGUAACUCGCACGUACGGUUCUUGAGGGAGUGGGCACUUGCGGCCUGCUUACCUAAUC